GUGGGGAAUUUUGGACAAUGGGCGCAAGCCUGAUCCAGCAAUGCCGCGUGCAGGAAGAAGGCCUUCGGGUUGUAAACUGCUUUUGUACGGAACGAAACGGUCCUGGCUAAUAUCCGGGGCUAAUGACGGUACCGUAAGAAUAAGCACCGGCUAACUACGUGCCAGCAGCCGCGGUAAUACGUAGGGUGCGAGCGUUAAUCGGAAUUACUGGGCGUAAAGCGUGCGCAGGCGGUGCUGUAAGACAGGCGUGAAAGCCCCGGGCUCAACCUGGGAAUUGCGCUUGUGACUGCAGUGCUGGAGUGCGGCAGAGGGGGAUGGAAUUACGCGUGUAGCAGUGAAAUGCGUAGAUAUGCGGAGGAACACCGAUGGCGAAGGCAAUCCCCUGGGCCUGCACUGACGCUCAUGCACGAAAGCGUGGGGAGCAAACAGGAUUAGAAACCCCAGUAGUCC
rnacentral:rRNA from 1 species